rnacentral:rRNA from 1 species
UACGUAGGGUGCAAGCGUUAAUCGGAAUUACUGGGCGUAAAGCGUGCGCAGGCGGUGAUGUAAGACAGUUGUGAAAUCCCCGGGCUCAACCUGGGAACUGCAUCUGUGACUGCAUCGCUGGAGUGCGGCAGAGGGGGAUGGAAUUCCGCGUGUAGCAGUGAAAUGCGUAGAUAUCUGGAGGAAUACCGGUGGCGAAGGCGGCAUCCUGGACCGGCAUUGACGCUGAUGCACGAAAGCUAGGGGAGCAAACAGG